GCUCUCUGACCUGACCCUCGAGCUGGUCGCUCUCCUGCGCUGCUGAUACGGCCCGUCCUGUCUCCAGUUUUUACGUCAGUAAAACACUUAGCUAUGAGACACUUUAACGUCUCCCUCCCAGCUUUUGCUGAGCCUUAACUUUCUCACCUGUAGCAGAGGCCUUUGGCCCUGUGUGUCAAUGGCUGUCACGAGGGGGCGGGUGUCACCACUGAGGCCGCCGGCAGAGGAGGAGCCCCUCCAGCUCGGCCCGGGUGGGCGAGGGGUCUCCACAUCCUGAGCCGCCGGGACCGCCGGAGGAGUUUGCUCUGUCCCGAGGAUAAAAAAGAAAAGUUCACCAAUGUAAAACGUUGAACCACGGGAACACGAACAAAAGAGACGUAAUUUAUCAAAUGUCCGAUGGCGGAGGACUCCCUAACCUUGAAAAGUGAUGGAUGAAUUCUCUCACACACUAAAGCACAAACAUUUAAAACUUCAACCCAAAAAAGGAAACCAAAAUUUACCAAACAGUAAUCUGGGGAAAAUAAAUUCAACAAACACCACAAAAGAUUAAGAUCCUUAAUUGAGGAAGACCUUAUCGAAUGAGUAAGAAAGACGCUGAGACUCCAGUAGCUAAACGGGUGGAGAACACGAGCAGACAAUUCACCACAGAAGACAAAUGGUUGACAGGGAAGAAAAAUUUCUCGCUAGCAAUCAUAUCAAACAACAAAGCAAAGGAUUAAAACAAUAAGAUCUCUGAAACACCUUUUAUGGUUUUCCAUGCCACUUAGAAGAGAAGUCAAAAAUUUUUUUUAUGAGGAAGAUUGUCGCUGAGCUAACAUCUGUGCCCAUCUUCCUCUGUUUUAUGUGGGAUGCGGGCUCAGCACAGCUUGACAAGUGGUGCUGGGUCCCCGCCCAGGAUCCAGGCCUACAAAUCUGGCCGGAGCAGAGCACGAACUUAACCACUACACCACGGGGCCAGCCCCUCAAAUUUUUUAUCUUGGCAAAGUCCAGGAUGGUGUGAGGGCUCCAACGCAUUGUCUACCAUUCUACCCAUUUCUUUCAGCCACGAUCUGCUUUUUCCUGACCUUUAAACACCUGGAUCUCCCACCUCUGGCCCUUCAUGGGAAUGUCCUUCUCUCAGCUGCUGGCAUGAUUGAACCUUCUGAUCCUCAGGCCUCAGAUGAGUCACCUUCUCAGUGGGGUCCUCCCUGUCCACCCUGUGUACAUAGGUGCUCCCUCUGUGCUCUGUCCGAUCAGGCUGUGUCUUCAUCAUACUUCCCAGUUAACUUACUUGUUUUGGUGCCAGAAUCCUCCUGCCCCUAAUGAUCAUCUCUAAGUCAGCUUUACCCACCACUCCCAGUGCCCAACUCAGCGUGACACUUAGUAGGCGCACUUUAGAUAGUGGUUCAAUAGAAGAGACACGAAGUGACCUGACCCAGUGUACAUGGGAGGGAAGUGGCAGCACCAAAACCCAAAUCCUCCUGUGUCUGACUCCAAAGGCUCAGCUGUCAGCCACGGCUGUGCUUCUGGCCCAAAGUCCUGGCCAGGGCCUGGCGGAUCUGGCAAGUCUGGCAGUCAGAAUUUAAAAGUGUAAUUGAUGGGGAGAGGAAUCAGAACAGAAUCUACAAAGCUGAAUUAAUAUAGAGGUUCUCUGAUCAGUUAUAGUUAUUUCUUUCAUUCAGCAUGUUCAACAAAAAACAAACCCAGACUUAGGAGAGACUUUGCUCAAAAGGACUUUAUUCAAGGGGAGAAAGGGGCUGUUGCAACAGGGAGAAGGCUCUGAGUAUAAGGCCUGCAAGUGUGUCAGGAGUUAGGCAGGAGGAGUUUUUCUUUUAUGGAGAGGAGUAAACAAGGCUAGAAAGAACCAGGUGUGGGGAAGUGGGGUGAAAGGUGGCAGGAUUGGAUCAUAAAUCCAAAAUGGUUCCACCUCUUCUCAAGAGGGACUGGAUGCUGGCUCGGGCCACGGGGCGCCAAAGUUCAUUCAGGGGCCUGGAGGAGGGAGAGAGGCUUCUUGGAAGUUUGGUUAACAAGCAUUCUGUUCCAAUUGAUCAGUGGGGACCAGAGGCUCUGCUAAUCAUUUAUGAGGCAAAGAAAGGGAAUUUAGAGGGUCUGCAUCUGGCCUUGUUAUAAGUAAACAAGGCGGGCGUCCAUGAGUCUUGUCUAAGUCAUUUGGGGAAGGAAAGGUGGUUCUUUGUAAUGUCAUUUUCUAGAACCCAAAAAGAGUGGGGGCUGGAGGGUAGUCCUUAACCUUCACUGUUUUCCAGGAGCACAGGGCUUGGGUAAAGUUCAACACUGUCAAGCUUACAUCUAUGGAUCUCCUUCCGUGUGUCCAGCCCUGGCGAGUGAAGUGGCCCGUGGCUAGGCUGGCAGAGACGCAGUUCCUCAGGUUCAGGAAAGGCCACGUGAGGACGCAGUGCGAAGGUGGCCAUCUGCAAGCCAGGAAGAGAGCCCUUACCAGAAUCUGAACCCUGACCUGGCACUUUCAGGCUCCAGAACUGUGAGAAGAGGGCAGAAGACGGAAGGAGCAGAUGCUGAAUUGCUGGCUUUCACUAGAUGUUUCAAAACACCAGUGGAUAGAGAGCAGAGAAUUGUGUUGGCAAAGUCAUUAGAAGUUCUGAAGCUACAACUUCUCAUUUUGUAGAGAGGAAUUUAAGACCCAGAGACACAGGGUCUUCAAUUAGACACAGGGGACCUACUCAAGAUUGCAUAGCAGGUUAGUGGUAGCUUUGAGCCAUGAUGGAAGAUAAAUGGAAUCCAAAGCCAGCUCUGCAUUUACUGACUUUGCAACCUUGAUCAAGUCCUGUAAGCCUUCCGGGCCUUGGUCCCCUCUUCUACUGUGUUGUCCCUUAUGCCCUGUAUGGCCGUACCUUCCUUCUGCCUGGAACAAUUCCAGUUUAUGCCUGUUGUCUCAGCACAAUUAUUAUUAAUGCUCCUUCCCUUCUCAUAGUGUUUGGACACACCCUCUACCUCUGUGGCAGUUUGCAUGACACAUGCUCCCAACCCACCCCCUGGCAGACAUUGCUGGUUCAUCACAGAAGCCCAGACAGCUAUCAGGCCUCUGCAUGGAGUAUCCAAGACAGCCAUGACCAAUCAACCAAGAGCAUCAGGGGAGGUGAAAAUGACUUGCCAUCCCACCUCUGUGGAAUCUGGUAGUCUUGAUCUGCUUUCUCAGAAUGUGGGUUAUCUAGCG
rnacentral:lncRNA from 1 species